rnacentral:sRNA from 2 species
UCGUCAUAUUUUUUUCGCUCACAUAUAGCGUAUUGGAUUGCGUCAUUUUAAACUACUGGCCGCAAUGUGUGCGAAUAACUGGCGAAAGGCAACCUCAGGCUGCCUUUUUCUUU